AAUUGGGCUAAAAUCUUAUGCAUGAGUUAAGAACUAAGAUCACCUAAGUGUUCUUGACAUCAAGCAUGAAGGAGGAAGGUACAAGCCUAACCGGUUCGCAAGCAACGCAAAACAAAGGUGAAUCUCACUCUUGAUAAUGGCGAGCUUGGAUCGAACACACCACAUCGCCCUUUAUGCGCUUCCGGUUUAGUCGUCUUUGUAAAUGGGUCAAAACACUUUCAUAAUGUAAAUGCUAAGUUUAUGUCUAAGAUGUUUCGUAAGUAAAUUAGGAUUUUAAAUCUUAUUUUUGGUAGUUCGGACAAAACACUUUUGA